rnacentral:tRNA from 3 species
GUGGGGUUCCCGAGCGGCCAAAGGGAGCAGACUGUAAAUCUGCCGUCAUCGACUUCGAAGGUUCGAAUCCUUCCCCCACCACCAU